rnacentral:ncRNA from 2 species
GUGCCGCAUGACAGGUGUUCAAUUGGUCUGUAAUGCUUGCUUGCCCAAGUAUUACAGACCGAUUGUUCUGAGAUUAUACUGUCAAAACUUGAUCUAGAUAAUACUAGCGAAAGGACAUGCGUGGCUUUGAUA